rnacentral:rRNA from 1 species
UACAGAGGGUGCGAGCGUUAAUCGGAAUGACUGGGCGUAAAGGGCGCGUAGGUGGUGUAUUGAGUGGUCUGUGAAAGGCCCGGGCUCAACCUGGGAAGUGCAGACCAGCACGGAUAGACUAGAGUCGUAGAGAGGGGAGUAGAAUUUCCGGUGUAGCGGUGAAAUGCGUAGAGAUCGGAAGGAAUACCAAUGGCGAAGGCAGCUCUCUGGCUACAGACUGACACUGAGGCGCGAAAGCGUGGGGAGCAAA